rnacentral:rRNA from 1 species
AUUGAACGCUGGCGGCAGGCCUAACACAUGCAAGUCGAACGCGUGGCGGACGGGUGAGUAAUGUCUGGGAAACUGCCUGAUGGAGGGGGAUACCUACUGGAAACGGUAGCUAAUACCGCUUACCAUCCGAUUUGCGCAGAUGGAAUUCGCUUGUUGGUGGGGUAACGGCUCACCAAGGAGACGAUCCCUAGCUGGUCUGCGAGGAUGACCGGCCACACUGGAACUGAGACACGGUCCAGACUCCUACGGGAGGCAGCAGUGGGGAAUAUUGCGCAAUGGGCGCAAGCCUGAUGCAGCCAUGCCGCGUGUAUGAAGAAGGCCUUCGGGUUGUAAAGUUCUGUCAGCGGGGAGGCGUUACCCACAGAGAAAGCACCGGCUAACUCCGUGCCAGCAGCCGCGGUAAUAC